rnacentral:rRNA from 1 species
UACGAAGGGUGCAAGCGUUACUCGGAAUUACUGGGCGUAAAGCGUGCGUAGGUGGUUUGUUAAGUCUGAUGUGAAAGCCCUGGGCUCAACCUGGGAAUUGCAUUGGAUACUGGCAGGCUAGAGUGCGGUAGAGGAUGGCGGAAUUCCCGGUGUAGCAGUGAAAUGCGUAGAGAUCGGGAGGAACACCGGUGGCGAAGGCGGGUCUCUGGGCAUCUCCUGACGCUGAGGCGCGAAAGCGUGGGGAGCAAACGGG